UCCUCUUGCAGUUCCCUGUUGCUGUCUUUCCAGCAGACAAGUCUGUUUUCAUGGCACAAGGCACCACGCUUCUGUUUCGGGGAAAAAUCCACACUGCUGGGACUGAAAAGAUAUGCUUCCCUAGAUGUGUUUAUCAAACCACGUCCAAGCAGCUGCAUUUUGAAAAAUGUGGCCCUCUAGAGCUAGUGGCAACAACUGCUGACUAACAAAGUAGCUCUGUACUUUGGACCUCACUGCAGGAAGAAAAAUGCCUGAGCCAUAAGGGUGAACCACGGAGUUCCUGGAUCCUACCAAUAUCCAAUCUUCUUCUCAAGAGUGACCUGCAGGAAUUGUCUAUAUGGGGGUAAGGCUUCAUGACAGAGGAUGUAUUUCAACUAGAAAAAUGCUGUCGGAAAUAUAUUCCCUGAAGACUACAUAGAACUUCAGAACUUCAGGAUACAGAAGGACAGCAAAGUGGCAUGACCUCAGAUUUUUCUUUUCUUUGAGUUAUGUGUUUGGUUUCUUUCCCCUAUUAUUUGUCUAUGAAAUUAGUUUUGUACGUGAAAUAAUUCAUUUUUCAGUUUUUCAAGACUUUGCUGUUUUUCACUUUUAAGGAUCGUUAUGGAAAUCACUUUAAAUUUGGUUGCUGACUUUAGCUGGAGAAUAAUGAGUUUCAUGUCACAAACUACAGUUCUGUAUAACUGUAAGCCUAUUUGAUUUCCCCAAUUUUAGUUGUUAUAAAUCUAAUAAAUAACAUAAAUAAUAUACUACUUUUGAUCACUUCUAUAUAUUGACUCUCAUGUAUAUAUCUGAAUGUUCCUUUUAUCAAAACAUAGGAUACUAAGCAUAUGUUUAUCACCUGGCAUGCUUAUAAACAAAAUUGGCUGAAGGUACAUGGUCAAACAGCUCAGCUGAACACAGGCUGUUGUUCAGUCAGCUUUCUACCUCUGUGAGGAAACUUUGUAUAAAUAACAAACCUACAGCAACACUACAGUGUGUAUAAAACACAUCCAUACAUUUUACUAGGUUUUAAGUCCUGAUACAUUUUUUUGAUAGUUCUUACUGCAUGUGCCUUCUUCUGUGCUAUACUCCUUGGAUAGGAGUAGGGAAGGGAACAGCUCUUGUUGCCUUACCUCAUUAGCAUGCAUUUAUUAUUUGUUUUCUGUGUAAUUACUGUCCCAGAACAGUACAAAAUUAGGUGUUAGCACUCUAAAAGGUGUCAAGGUAAAAACUUCAGCUUAUUUAUUUCCUUCCGCAGUAGCUGACAUUUUGAUUGCCUGUCACCUGGAUCUGCUGCAUAAGCCAAGUUAUAAGGCUCCUUAUGGCAAGGCCAAGUGAUUUUUUAAUAUCUUAAAAAGAGAAGGGAUCUUUCCCAUUUCUAUUUAUUUCUCAAAU